GCGGAUGUGGUGGAACUGGCAGACACGCAAGAUUUAGGAUCUUGUGGUAACCCCGUGCAGGUUCAAGUCCUGUCAUCCGCA
rnacentral:tRNA from 1 species